UCCAAACGGGAUAAAUCUGCCUCCAAAGGGCAUGGCCGCCAUGUUGAAGGGUUGUUCCAAUCCGAAUGGGCCCAUAAAAUAGCUUUGAAGGGCACUUCAAAAGGGACGUUUCUGAAGGGUUCAACUGAUGGACACUUCACUGCCAAGCAGACCAGAACCAGUGUUACAAUAUAUUCAGUUCCUGAGAUAUUUGGUUCCAGUGGGCGGAGCAUACAUGAAUAUUCAGGAAUUAUCCUGACCUGCGUGUUGAAGUGGAACUGAAAAAGUAAGCACACCACCGUCAUGACUCAAGUUCAACAUGCCUGAAGGAUUAUUUCAAAAAGAGCCGAGGAGGGAGGGGCCGGGCUGGAAUGACGCACGCCUGGUCCCCAAUCAGCCUGAUGGGGCGGGCGAGGGAUAAAGGCGGCCGGGGACAACAUUUGGAGAGAGAGAGAAUUACAGGCAGCUGCCCUGCAUGUGUUUAUGUUUGUGUGUUUUUGUUUAAGUUUAUUAUUAAACUAUUAUUUAAGUUGUCAAGCCGGUUCUGGCCUCCUCCUGUCGGGAGGGAUGCCCGUCGCAGAGUCCUCGAUGCUGCCAUCCACCGGGGGACGGAGUAGCCCGACCACCCGGACGUGGGGAACGGCCGCCGUCCGCGAGGCGAGUGGGGACUGGACUCCCCGACCGCCUGGAACGAUGGAGCUGCUGCCAGGGGCGGAGGAGUGCCCUGCCGUCCCCCAGAAACGCAGAGGGGUCGAGAGAAGACCGCCGUCCGCGAGGGGAGGAGGGAAGCGACUCCCCGACCGCCUGGAGCACUAGGGCCACUGCCAGGGGCGGAGGAGUAUCCCCACGGGUUAGCCGGGAACGCGGAGGGGCGUUCUGUCCGCUGGGGGUCGGAGAUCAGACUCCGGUCCGCCCGGGGAGGAGCGGCUGCCAUCCGCCUGAGAGGGUGGAGAAGUGAUCGAGGACCACGCGACAGCGCAUCAGAGAACCGGUCGAGGAAGGCGGGGAUGACCCGCCAGCAGUCGGGGCGCAAGGCACCCCCCCCCGGAGAGGAAGGGGGGAUGUACGUCAUGCCGGGGGCUCCCCAGCUGGGGGCUCCCCAGCCUGAGGCAACACCAGGUGGAGUGUAGAGCCGAGGAGGGCGGAAAAGUUUAUUAUUAAACUAUUAUUUAAGUUGUCAAGCCGGU